AAUCAACGCUGGCGGCGUGCCUCAGACAUGCAAGUCGAACGAUUAAACUUCCCUUCGGGGAAGAUAUAAAGUGGCGCACGGGUGAGUAACACGUAGGUAAUGUACCUUUGGGUGGGGAAUAACUUAGGGAAACUUAAGCUAAUACCGCAUAAUGCAGCGGCUCCUUCGGGAGACAGUUGUUAAAGAUUUAUCGCCUAAAGAGCAGCCUGCGGCAGAUUAGCUAGUUGGUAAGGUAACGGCUUACCAAGGCUACGAUCUGUAUCCGACCUGAGAGGGUGGUCGGACACACAGACACUGAAUACCGGGUCAGACUCCUACGGGAGGCAGCAGUCGGGAAUUUUGGGCAAUGGGCGAAAGCCUGACCCAGCAACGCCGCGUGAAGGAUGAAGUCUUUCGGGAUGUAAACUUCGUAAGAAUAGGAAGAAUAAAUGACGGUACUAUUUGUAAGGUCCGGCUAACUACGUG
rnacentral:rRNA from 1 species